rnacentral:tRNA from 1 species
GCGCCGGUGGUGUAAGGCGAACAUCGCUGCCCGGAAGGCAGAAGAUGCGGGUUCGAGUCCCGCCUGGUGCA